rnacentral:rRNA from 1 species
UGUUGCAGUUAAAAGCUCGUAGUUGGAUUUCGGAAGGUCCUUAGUAAUCCGCCCCUUCGGGGAGCGGGUUACUGGCCUCCUAUGUUCCUAACGGUCCUCAUCCGCGAGGGUGGGGAAUCAACCGCUAGGAUCGUUUACUUUGAGGAAAUUAGAGUGUUCAAAGCAGGCGUAACUCGCCUCCGAAUACGUUAGCAUGGGAUAAUGGAAUACGACUUCGGUCUUGUUUCGUUGGUUUCGCUUGGCUGAAGUAAUGAUUGAUAGGGACAGUUGGGGGCAUUAGUAUUUAGUUGUCAGAGGUGAAAUUCUAGGAUUUACUAAAGACUGACCAAUGCGAAAGCAUUUGCCAAGGAUGUUUUCAUUAAUCAAGAACGAAAGUAGGGGGAUCGAAGACGAUCAGAUACCGUCGUAGUCUCUACCGUAAACUAUGCCGACCAGGGAUCCGGAGAGUUUGCAUGGAUGACUCCCCGGGCACCUUGUGAGAAAUCAUAAGUGUUUGGGUUUUGGGGGGAGUAUGGUCGCAAGGCUGAAACUUAAAGGAAUUGACGGAAGGGCACCACCAGGAGUGGAACCUGCGGCUUAAUUUGAU